AUCUAUGGCCAUGCCACCCUGAAUGUGCCCGAUCUCGUCUGAUCUCAGAAGCUAAGUAGGGUUGGGCCUGGUUAGUACUUGGAUGAGAGACCACCUAGGAAUACCAGGUGCUGUAGGCG
rnacentral:rRNA from 1 species